UUUUCUUCUUUCCUCUCUUCCUCUUUUUCUCAGUCUUUUCCUCCCUCAACUUUCUCUUUUUCCCUUNUCUUCUUUUCUUCUUUAUUUUNACAUAUUUUUUCUUUUUUUCUUUUUUCUCAACCACUUCUUUUUCUUUCUCCUCAUCUUUCUCUCCCUCACUCAACCUUUCUGUUUCUUCUUCCUCUAUCUUUUCCUUAUUUCUUUCUAUUUUUUUCUCCUUUAUCUUCUCCUUCGCAACAACCUUUUCUGUUUCUAUCUUCUCCUUAUCAACAACCUCAUCAAUUUGU
rnacentral:lncRNA from 1 species